UUACCUGGGCUCAAAUGUAUGUUGACGUAUUCUGAAAGGGAUACUUCUUCGGACAAUAUACAAGGUGCUGCAUGGUUGUCGUCAGCUCGUGCCGUGAGGUGUCGGGUUAAGUCCCAUAACGAGCGCAACCCUACCUUUAGUUGCCAUCAGGUAAUGCUGGGGACUCUAAAGGAACUGCCUACGCAAGUAGUGAGGAAGCGGGGAUGACGUCAAAUCAGCACGGCCCUUACGUCCAGGGCUACACACGUGCUACAAUGGCCGAUACAGAGGGCAGCUACCUGGUGACAGGAUGCAAAUCUCCAAAGUCGGUCUCAGUUCGGAUCGGAGUCUGCAACCCGACUCCGUGAAGUUGGAUUCGCUAGUAAUCGCGAAUCAGCAUGUCGCGGUGAAUGCGUUCCCGGGCCUU
rnacentral:rRNA from 1 species